GGCAAAUUCAGUCGUUCUAAUCUAGAAUAUGUGUGGGUCUAUAGAGCUUCAUAUGGAAUGAUAAAGCCUCAUCUAUUCUCUAGAGAUACGUCUCCCCCCCCUCUCUCUAUUUAUAGAACAAAACCCAAUCUCUCUUCCUGCAAAAGAACCCUCGUAUCAAAAAAUGGCAGAGAAACACAAGAAGCCUCAUGCAAUCGUCUUCGCUUACCCUCUCCAAGGUCAUAUAGUCCCAGUUGUCCACCUUGCUCUGAAGUUGGCCUCCCAUGGUUUCACCAUCACCUUCAUCAACACACACUCCAUCCACAAUCACACCUCCAAGGCCCAUCCCAAAGCUGGUGCAGAGUUGUUUGCCAAGGCCCGCGAAUCAGGUCUGGACAUCCGCUACACCACCAUCUCUGAUGGGCUUCCUGUUGAGUUCGACCGAUCAUUGAACCAUGACCAGUUCUUGGCAGCUCUAUUGCAUGUGUUCUCAGCUCAUGCAGAGGAGGUGGUGGCUAAGAUUGUUGCUUCUGGAGAGGAUGUUCAUUGUUUGAUUGCUGAUACCUUUUUUGUAUGGCCUUCAAAGAUUGCCAAGAAAUUUGAUUUGGUUCAUGUUUCUUUCUGGACAGAACCUGCUUUGGUAUUUACUUUGUAUUAUCACUGGGAUCUUCUAAGGUUAAAUGGUCAUUUUGAUUGCCAAGGUAUGGUGACUUUGCAUGUAAUAGUUUAAUUUGUAGUAUAGAAAUAUCUCCAAUACUAUGAGUUAAGUUCAUUUUGUGAUCAGAUUGCCGCGAGGAUACCAUAGAUUACAUACCAGGAGUGAAGGCAAUCGAACCAAAGGAUACGACGUCGUAUCUUCAAGAAACAGAUACGACAUCUAUUUGCCACCAAAUUAUUUAUAGCUGUUUCAUUGACACUAAAAAUGCAGCUUUUGUUUUAUGCAAUACAGUGCAAGAACUUGAACAUGACACCAUAUCAGCUCUGCAAGCCAAAAUUCCAUACUAUGCAAUUGGACCCAUUUUCCCUAAUGACUUUUCCAAGACCAUUGUAGCCACCAGCCUGUGGUCCGAGUCAGAAUGCACCAAGUGGCUAGACAAAAGGCCACAUGCCUCAGUGUUGUACAUAUCAUUUGGUAGCUAUGCCCAUGUUACAAAAAAUGACCUUGUAGAGAUAGCAAGUGGGCUUUCCCUAAGCAAAGUGAGUUUUGUUUUGGUGCUUCGACCUGAUGUUGUGAGCUCAGAUGAUGCUGAUCCAUUGCCCGUCGGAUUCAAAGAAGAGGUUGCUGACCGUGCGAUUGUUAUACCUUGGUGCACUCAGAGAGAAGUCUUGGCCCACCCAGCAAUCGGAGGGUUCCUAACCCAUUGUGGGUGGAAUUCCAUAUUAGAAAGCAUAUGGUGUGAAGUACCAUUAUUGUGUUUCCCUCUAUAUACUGAUCAAUUCACAAAUAGGAAAUUAGUGGUUGAUGAUUGGAAGAUU
rnacentral:misc_RNA from 1 species